AUACGUAGGGUGCGAGCGUUGUCCGGAAUUACUGGGCGUAAGGAGCUCGUAGGUGGUUUGUCGCGUCGUCUGUGAAAUUCCGGGGCUUAACUCCGGGCGUGCAGGCGAUACGGGCAUAACUUGAGUACUGUAGGGGAGACUGGAAUUCCUGGUGUAGCGGUGAAAUGCGCAGAUAUCAGGAGGAACACCGGUGGCGAAGGCGGGUCUCUGGGCAGUAACUGACGCUGAGGAGCGAAAGCAUGGGUAGCGAACAGGAUUAGAUACCCUGGUAGUCCAUGCCGUAAACGGUGGGCGCUAGGUGUAGGGGUCUUCCACGACUUCUGUGCCGUAGCUAACGCAUUAAGCGCCCCGCCUGGGGAGUACGGCCGCAAGGCUAAAACUCAAAUGAAUUGACGGGG
rnacentral:rRNA from 1 species